AUUGAACGCUGGCGGCAUGCCUUACACAUGCAAGUCGAACGGUAACACGGGGGCAACCCUGGCGACGAGCGGCGAACGGGUGAGUAAUACAUCGGAACGUACCCAGUAGUGGGGGAUAGCCCGGCGAAAGCCGGAUUAAUACCGCAUACGCACUACGGUGGAAAGCGGGGGACCGCAAGGCCUCGCGCUACUGGAGCGGCCGAUGGCAGAUUAGCUAGUUGGUGGGGUAAAAGCCUACCAAGGCGACGAUCUGUAGCUGGUCUGAGAGGACGACCAGCCACACUGGGACUGAGACACGGCCCAGACUCCUACGGGAGGCAGCAGUGGGGAAUUUUGGACAAUGGGGGAAACCCUGAUCCAGCGAUGCCGCGUGUGUGAAGAAGGCCUUCGGGUUGUAAAGCACUUUUGUCCGGAAAGAAAUCCGUCGGGCUAAUACCCUGGCGGGAUGACGGUACCGGAAGAAUAAGCACCGGCUAACUACGUGCCAGCCGCCGCUGUAA
rnacentral:rRNA from 1 species